GGUUAAGCGACUAAGCGUACACGGUGGAUGCCUAGGCAGUCAGAGGCGAUGAAGGGCGUGCUAAUCUGCGAUAAGCGUCGGUAAGCUGAUAUGAAGCAUUAUAACCGACGAUACCCGAAUGGGGAAACCCGG
rnacentral:misc_RNA from 1 species